CCUCUAGACCACUUCUUUGUAUAUAUGUAGUCGAUAACCUCGGCACGGGUAAAAUCUGCAUCCAACUUCUUAUCUUCCUUACUGUUCAGGACAUCAGGUAUUCCAUCAACUAACCCUAGUAGUUGAUAGUACUUUGCCUCCUUAACAAGUUCUGCAUAUUGGGAAGCUUCUAAUUUAGGAACCUCACCGUCUCUUAACCAGUUAAGAAUGUGCCGAAAAUGUUCGCCAUCCCUAUCGAUAAAAACAUAUCCCUUCUUAUCUUGGCGCAAAGUGUGUCGACCGCUAAACAUUGCAGCAAGCAUGGAGUCGGGUUGACGCUGAGUUAGAGUACCGACGGUGGUGGAAAACUUCUUUCCUCCCACAUUGAGGUGAACCAAGGAUGAAGAAUCACAGUCCUCUGCCAUUGCUUGGACACUUCGAGAGAUGAAUGAUACAGGAAAUCAAGAGUAUAAACUGGAAAACUUGUCCGCUGCAAAGAAUAACAACAAAAGAGAAAGAACCAUUACGAAGCAACAACUAACAGAGAAAUAUCAGGACUGAAAAAGGAUCUCUUAUAAAACUAAACGCAUUUAUAAGAGUUGAAAAUCGAAGCUCAUAGGGUUGGUGAACAUAUUCAAUACCAGGGCGAAAUACGAAGAGUCGAAAAUCGUAUGUAUUCUCUCUUAGUUAUGUCAUAACAUAAUUGGGGAGAAGUUUAAAUGUUUAAGCGUCCAACCGAUUUUGUCAUGACACUUGGUAUACCGGAUCGUAUUUCCAAUGCAUUGAAAAAUCUCUCAUUCUACAACCUCACUUCUAAACCAAUUUAAUUAUCUUCCACUCUUUCAAACUAAAAGAAAGCCACUCCUUCAUAUAUUUACUCACGUAACUUCCAAAUAAAAUCUCAUUUAGUUUCUGUUAAACCCAAUAAGUAUAAUAAGAACGAAAAAAUUCACCAUUUCAAAACCAACCCACCACAAAUCUGCCCCUACAUCGAAAAUUAACCAAAAAAACAGUUCACACAAAUAGCAUAGCCUCAUAAAAUCAAGAGGGAGUUAAAUCAAGGCUAGGGUUUUCAUAUUUUUACCCCAAUACCACCGAAACUGGUCUUCGACGCCUAAAAUUUACUGCCACGAUCUCAGUUCGACGCCAUCAGCUCGAAAUCUCGACAUAUAUUACACGAAUCGGAUUACAAACAAGAAUAUAAAGUUAACCCAAAUCUGUAUGUGACGAAUUCAAGGAACCACUUACAUAGAAAUGAAACCCAUGAGAAAAGGAUUAAACUUAUCUCUUGGCUUUGUUGGAGUUUUGAGCUCCUUUAGUCCCACAUCGGGGAACUCAAGGGAACUUGGGGUCCUUAUAUUAAGUUAGUCACCUAUAUUAGUGAUUAGGUGUUGAACUAUUUGGAAUGAGGAUUGAGGUUUUGGCCACUAAUUGUGUGGAUUAAGCUUGAUGAUUAUACCAUAAUAGACAAGACCUUGGCCUUGGGGCCUAAGAAGUUAAAAUUAAUCAGAAUUCAUUAAUUGUAAUUUUGAAUUAAAUUAAUUAAAAACGUUUUGACACAAAGUUGUGUGGUUUUAGAUACAUUCAAAAGGUAUUUAAGGAGGUAUGAAAGAGCCUAUAUAACUAAAGUCUCAAUUCCUUCGUAAGUCAUCUUUCAUUUUCCCAUCUCUUCCGUACAAAACCUUACAGAAAGUAAACAUACAAAGCAAUUCGCCAUAAUUCUAUAAUCCGGUGCGGGUUGUAGAAUUAGAUAGUUGUAUGUUGGUCGGGCAGACUUCGUAGAACCACAAGCAUAAGAGUGAGACGGAAAUAUUGUUCGAAAGACAUAGCUUUUGCACUAGUCUCUAUCUGUGAUUCAACCAAGUUAGUAUCAAUUUAAUUCUUGUUUAUUUCGGUUAUUUCAUUUUGUAUUGCAAGUAUAUUUCGUUAAUAAAGAAUUAGUAUUUCAAUUAUGUUAUUUUAUUUAUUUUCUGAAAUGUUCUCCAACAGGCUUAAGGUUCCAAGGAUUUUGGCCGGAAUUUGGAGUUUUCCGACGAGAUUUGCUCUUCUUCUUGCCUUUCUUUUGCCUUGUGUGGUGAUUGGACAGAAUCUGCCUUUUUUCUUUCCACUUUCCUUUCCUUCAUCGUAAAGCAUAAAACAUUUAUUCUACAUGAGAAAUAUUUCAGUGUACCAGGAACACAGCUUGGAGUGUCAUGACAUAAUUGGGGAGGAAGUUUAAUUGUUUUUAUGUUCCUCCAAUUAUGUCAUUACACUUGGCAUACGGCCGUAUUCCCGUUACACUGAAACAUCACUCCUUCUACACCUCACUUCUAAACCAAUUCAAUUGUCUUCCACUCUAUGCUAUUUUGGCAACGCAUAUUGGGGAACCUAGGUGGAAUGAUCGACUUGUCUGGCCAUCUACCAAGAUUGGUAUGUAUUCGGUUAGGUUCGGAUACCAUUGGGCACGGUAUUCGGUUUGGAAAUUAAAAACCCCACCAAAGCUUCGUAACUUUAUAUGGCGCACAUUACAUGGAGCUCUGGCAAUGAUGGAGAAUUUAUUCAAAAGGAAAUGUUCCCCCUCCCCGAUGUGUCCGAUAUGCAACUGUUAUGAGGAGUCUAUUGAGCACCACCUGUUAUUAUGCUAUUAUGCCCAUGGGUGGAGACUAUUUGGUUUGGUGGGGUGCUCAAUUAUAAGGUGGACAGACAUAGGAUUACUUCUUGGGCGGCUUGGCUUCAUUACAUUGCAUCGCGGCAGUUUGGGUCUAAGGAGGAUCAAGGGUUUGUGCUUUCGCAUGUGGCAUUUACUUGUUGGUAUAUUUGGAAAGCGAGGUCCAACUUUCUAUUCAACCAAUAAGCACUCGAUCCUACCCAGGUGCUCCUUGCUAUCUCAAAUUAUUCUGCUGUUUUCAAUGAAGCUAAUCGGGCUCCUCCUCCAUUAAUGAAUGUAUCACGCACGGUUGCUCCUGUGGCACAUUGGUCUCCCUCUUUUUCUCCCUAUCUGAAAGUGAAUGUAGAUGCUAGUUGGCAGAAGUCGACAAGGAAUGGUUAUGUUGGGGUUGUGAUACGUGAUGUGGAGGGUCAGUUUGUGGCUGCAGCUCGGUAUGCAAUCCAGACUCCUAAUGUUGUAUCGGCGGAGGCCAUGGCUAUUUUACGAGGAUGUGAGCUGGCUAUUGCUUUGGGCCAUCAGUGGGUGAUUGUGGAAUCCGAUUCUAAGGAGUUGAUUUCUAGCUUAUCAAGUUCGUUGGACAAUGGCAGAUGGGAAGCCUUUCCUACCUUGGCAAAUGUUCUAAGGUUACAAGAGUCUUUCCAGGGAUGUCGCUGGUCUUGGGUGCCAAGAUCGGCCAAUUUGGCUGCGGACAGGUUGGCGUCGCACAGCAAUACGGACAUGUGCAAUGUCAUAUAGGUCAAUAGACCUCCAUCUUCGUUGGUUUUUGUUUUAAAUAAUGAUAUGGAUUACCUUGUCCACCUUAGACUUUUAUUGUAAUGGAGGGGGCGAUGCUCGAACUCUGUUCUAGCAUCUUCACUCCUUACUCCCUUCGCUGCUUGGUUUUUUAUUGGUCAGUUGUUGCUUGCCUCGGUGUAGGCUUCCUGUAAUGUUGUGACAUCCUUGCCCUGAUAAUUUUAUUCCCAGUUUCCCAAAAAAAAAAAAAAACGAAAAGAAAGCCACUCCUUCAUAUACUUACUCGUGUAACUUCCAAAUAAAAUCCCAUUUAGUUUCUGAAGCAUAAUAUUCACUUUAAGAACGAAAAAAAUUCAACAUUUCAAAACUAACCCACCACAAAUCUGCUCCUACUUCAAAAAUUAACCAAACACCUUCAAUUCCAAUUACUUUUCACUUACUCUUCAACGAAAAACACUUCACACAAAUAACAUAGCCUCAUAAAAUCAAGGGGGAUUUAAAUCAAGGCCAAGGUUUUCAGAUUUUUACCCCAAUAUCUCCAAAACUGGUCUUCGAAGCCUAAAACUUUACCCGUGCACCAAAUUUUAAUUUUAAUCCGUUUGCACUCACGCAUUCGUGACGACAAGUACUACAGGAAUUUGCUUACAUAAGUUAUAAGUGUCACGCCAUCAUGGUCAAUGAAAGUCAACAUUCAUCCAAUUAGAGGCAUUUUGUCAUUUACCACAUUUGGGAAUUAAAAUACCAUAAAAUUGAGGAAGGGUUGUAACACUAAAUGUUUAUUUGUCAUUUUCAGGACUGACACAAAAGAUAGAUACCUUAUCAUUGAAUGGAUGUUGUGACUAAAAGUUAGGAUUUGGUUUAAUAUUCUAAUAACAAGGUAUAUUAGAACCAAACCAGCCAUAUAAUACACAUAUAUGAUUACCUUUCGGUCAUUGCGGUAAUCAUUUGUAGUAUACGUCGAUAGUAAAAUCCUUUCAAAGACCUUAAAAUCCUUUCAAAGACCUACUUGUAAUAACGAACUUGCAAAAUAGUGACCAAUGAAUUAGAGGUACACCAUUGUGGUAGGUCACAAAAAGCCAAACAUAGGACAAGUCAUAUUAUACAUACAUCAACCCUUUGCAAGUGGUUUAAAUUAAAGAAAAUAAAAAUUAGAUUCCAAUAGCAUCCCUAAAGCACUUCUAACAUGAUCGACAUUGUCGAGGAUAACUUUCAGUACCUACAAUCUUCCACGCAAGAUGCCCCAACGAGAUCGUAGUUUUUAGCUCCCACAAAAGAAGCUCCUCGAAGAUUUGCAUGAUAAAAAGUAGAACUACGCAAAUUUGCACUGUCAAAGGUAGCACCUUCAGCAUCAGCGUAGUUGAAAUUAGAAUCAUUAAUAUUUGCACCUGAAAAACACACGUGUCUCAAGCAUGCAUAGCUGAAGUCAACAUAUGACAGGUCCAGUUUUGAAAGAUUAAGGCCAGAAAGAUUAACCCCUCGAAAACAAGGCUUAGACACACACACAUCCAUGCGUCCAGACCACUUCAUUGAAUAUAUGUAGUUGAUAACCUCGGCACGGGUAAAUCUGCAUCCAACUUCUUAUCUUCCUUACUGUUCAGGACAUCAGGUAUUCCAUCAACUAACCCUAGUAGUUGAUAGUACCUUGCCUCCUUAACAAGUUCUGCAUAUUGGGAAGCUUCUAAUUUAGGAAUCUCACCGUCUCUUAACCAGUUAAGAAUGUGCCGAAAAUAUUUGCCAUCCCUAUCGAUAAAAACAUAUCCCUCCUUAUCUUGGCGCAAAGUGUGUCGACCGCUAAACAUUGCAGCAAGCAUGGAGUCGGGUUGACGCUGAGUUAGAGUACCGACGGUGGUGGAAAACUUCUUUCCUCCCACAUUGAGGUGAACCAAAGAUGAAGAAUCACAGUCCUCUGCCAUUGCUUGGAAACUUUGAGAGAUGAACUGAUACAGGAAAUCAAGAGUAUAACUGGAAAACUUCUCCACUGCAAAGAAUAACAAAAGAGAAAGAACCAUUACGAAGCAACAACUAACAGAUAAAUAUCAGGACAGGAAAAGGAUCUAUAAUAAAACUAAACGCAUUUAUAAGAGUUGAAAAUCGAAGCUCAUAUGGUUGGUGAACCUUUUCAAGGGCGAAAUACGAAGAGUCGAAAAUCGUACGUAUUCUCUCUUAGUUAUGUCAUAACAUAAUUGAGGAGAAGUUUAAAUGUUUAAGCGUCCAACCAAUUAAUUAUAUCAAGACAUUUGGUGUGUCGGACUGUGUUUCCAGUGCACUGAAAAAAUCUCUCUUUCUACACCUCACUUCUAAACGAAUUCAAUUAUCUUCCACUCUUUCGAACUAAAAGAAAGCCACUCCUUCAUAUAUUUACUCACGUAACUUCCAAAUAAAAUCUCAUUUAGUUUCUGUUAAACCCAACAAGUAUAAUAAGAACGAAAAAAUUCACCAUUUCAAAACCAACCCACCACAAAUUUGCCCCUACUUAAAAAAUUAACCAAAAAAACAGUUCACACAAAUAGCAUAGCCUCAUAAAAUCAAGAGGGAGUUAAAUCAAGGCUAGGGUUUUCAGAUUUUUACCCCAAUAGCUCCAAAACUGGUCUUCAACGCCUAAAAUUUACUGCCACGAUCUCAGUUCGAAGCCAUCAGCUCGAAACCUCGACAUAUAUUACACGAAUCGGAUUACAAACAAGAAUAUAAAGUUAACCCAAAAGAUGUAACUGAUUAAAGUCUGAUACUUUAGGCUGCUUUAAGUCCAUGUGUGAAUCUCCUUUUCUUCCUUUGUGCUUUUCUCAGUCAGUCUUCUUCUUUUAUUGCUUUCUUUGUUAUUAAGCAUUCCAGAAGGAUUUUAAAUCAAGUUUGAUUAAUAUGCAGCUGAACCGCACUUAUAAUUUUAUUGCUUUCUUUGUUAUCGUCGUUUAAGUGCUUUCCUGUUCACUUUUUAACAAGAUUCAUAGGGUUAACUUUAAUGUUUAUCUUCACUGUUUAACCUCAUGGUGGUGGGAUGAUUAAUAAAAGGGAUACUUUAGAUGCAAUCCCUAAUCCUUAACAUUCUUUGACUAAAACCUUAAUGAUAUUCAACAUUUGAUCAAAAUCCCUUGACUUUGUACACCUCAUUAUAUUACAAGUACAAUUAAUAUUUAUAUUUUUAUAGUUUUGACAUUAAUUGUUUGAUAUUUUAUGAGAUUUAUAAUCCUAUAAAUUUAAAAUCCCUCAUUAUAAUACUAUUAGAAACAGUUACAAUAAAAAAAAUUCAAACAUUUUGAUUGAAUAAAUGGAUAAAAACUAUGUAAAAAUAAGAAAUAAUAAAUGGCAAAAGAAUGUAACUAUAGUGUUAAAAAAAAUGGUACAUUUUACAAAAACAAUUGGUACAUUUCACAUAUAACAAAGCGGUACAUUAAUAAAGAAGAAUGAGUACAUUAUAAAUCAAUUAGGGUACAGAUAAAAGAUAAAAAAAUUAUGAGUACAAAUGAAUUUUUAAAAAAUAUAGGCGCUAAAAGAAAUUAAUACAUGGGUACAAAAUAAAACUAAAAAGAAAAUACUAAAAAUUUAAAAAAAUGUUGCAAAUUAAAAGUGGGUACAAACUAAAAAUAUAAAUAUAUGAUACAAAGUUUAGGCAUAAAACAUAAAUAUACCAUAUGUAAUUUUUCUAUCAUUGAUUAAAUAUACAAUGUCAUGUGACGGUGUACACAUGGGUACAAACACAAAUAAAACUUUAAAAAAUAUGGGCACAAAAAGAAACUAAUAUAUGGGUACAAAUUAAAAAUAAAAAGAAAAUUGGUACAAAUUAAAAAUAGGUACAAACUAAAAUAUAUGAUAAAAAAUUUAGCCAUAAAUAUAAAUAUACUAAUUUUAACAUUUUUAACACUAAAGGAAUAUAUUUAAAAAUAAAAAUAUUUUAUUUUUCAAAGAAUUAAUGAUGUUAUUAAUACCCAAGGAUAUUGAUCAAAAAUUGAAAAUGAAUAGGAUUUUAAUCAAUGAAGUAGCAAAAAGAAUGAUAUGAACCUAACUUCUCCUUAAUAAAAUAAAAGACCUUAAUUGCGAACUUUAGCAUUUGGAAGAUGUUGACUAUUGGUUUUUUUCCCCCAAUUUUGUAUAGGACGUAGAAUCUGUUUGUAUUUUUGAUAUAGGGCCAAGGCACUGUUAAUUUUAGCACUUGGAAGAUACUGUUAACAACUCAACUAUUUGAAUCAAAUAAGCCCAGAUUAUGCACUGCAGAUAGAGUCCGCAGACUCAUAUUUCAAUUGUUUUUUAAAUUUGUCCCGGCUAAAAAAAAUGUCAAAUUAUGUUAAUUAAGAGACUAUGAAGUAUGAACCAUUGAAAACUCAACAUUAAUAUAACAAGGAGAAUGCUAGCCAUUGCAAAUUAUGUUAGUUAAGAAAUUGUGCCUUCAGGGAUCAUUACUUGAUUGAAUCUUAUAUGGAGGAGCACAUCACUAGAAAGAAAAGAUCAUUGUUUAACAACAUAUACAUACACAUCACAUAUACAUGUGUUCAAUCCUUUUCUCUGCUAAUUUAUUUUGAAUGCUUUAAUAGGUUUUCUUCAAUCCUGAGAUUUAUAGCACCGACUGCACCACUCCAUUACCCAUUGUAAUUGACAAGUGUAUUUGGUCUACUUCAAUUGACACUAGGAGGUCUUUGUAUAAGGUGAAGUUGGCCUUGAAAUGAGCUUAAGGAGAUCGGUCCUCGGUUUGAAUUAAGGCUUUUUAAGGUUAGUACUAUAUCUUCAUUGUUGAGAAAUUUGUGCUUCUUGCAAGGAUAUAGUUAGAUAUGAAUAAAUAUGAAUUCUCUUUAUGACUAGAUAUGAAUUCUCUUUAAUUGUUUCCUCUUAAGAAAUGCCAUUUAGCAUGAAUAGAUUUAAAAUAUAAUGUUGUGCUUACUUUGCACAUAUUGAAUAUGUUAUUGCAUUUGAAUUGGAUAUGUGAUUUAUUGAAUUGGAAUUUGGAUAUAUGUUGAACUGUGGUUGUGAUAUAUUAAUGUGCAUUGUUAUUAUAUUUGUUAGGAUGGACGGGUGUAGUAGCCAAUCUAGUACACCUAUGGUCUCAGUAUUAGGAAAACGAAAACAUAUCCAACCUAGUGGUACUCUUCAACUAGGCACUCCUUCACCUCAAGAUUAUCUGCAUGAUGAUUAUUUUGAAGAUUGUUAGGAUGAUGAUCCAAAUGUGGAGGAGGAUAUUGCAUUAGAACAAGUAGAAGAACACAGAGAAGAGGGGAAAAGGAAGUAGAAGUAGUGAGAGAAUGGGAAGGUCCUCCUCGGAAAAAGGGCAAUAGGAGAAGGGGCCCAAGUCCGACGUGGAACGAUGCUAAGAGGGUAACUAUCACCAAUAAUAAAGGGGUGGAAUCGUACAUGGCCGAAUGCAUGCAUUGCAAACUCUUAGCAUCGGCACACUCUAGAAUUCAUGGGACGGAAGGAAUUCUUAAGCAUUUGAAGAAAUGUCGUGGUUCUAUUCUCCUUCAGAGUGUGGAUCCGAACCAACCAACAUUGACACAAGCGAGAAUGGGAGGUCUAGUUGUCACUCACACUUUCAAUCAAAAAAGACUUGAUAUGAGAUGUGUGAGGUGGAUUAUAAUAACGGAGAUGCCUUUCAGGGUGGUCGAUCAAGGGGAUUUUCGAGAUUUUAUUCAUGACUUGAAUCCAAAGUACAAACUUUCUAAUAGGCAUAAGGUGCCAGCGACGGUUUUGGAGUUGUGUUACGAAGAAAAGGCAAAAAUAAAAAGUAUGAUUGAAGGGUUGAGAGUGAGUAUCACAACCGAUACUUGGACCUCGAUCCAAAAGAUCAACUACAUGGUCAUCACGACCCAUUUUUUGGACACUAAUUGGGCAUUGCAUAAGAGGAUCCUAAACUUUGUCCAAGUUACUUCUCACAUGGGGUGAUGACAUUGGAAGGUGUCUAGAGGUUUGCUUGAAUGAUUGGGGCAUGGACAAGGUGUUUAGCAUUACCGUUGACAAUGCUAGUGCAAAUGACACUGCUAUUGCAUACAUAAAAAGAAGACUCAAGUCAAAUGGUACUCUUUUACUCGAAGGGGCUCACUUGCACAUGAGGUGCGCUUGUCACAUCCUUAAUUUGAUAGUUAAGGAUGGAAUGACGGACCUUAGUUGUGAGAUUGAUGUCAUAAGAAAUUGUGUGAAGUUUAUACACUCAUCCCCGGCAAAGUUGGAGUUUUUAGGGAAUAUUGUGUCUUGUUGAGACUUGAUGGGACGUCAAGUAUCAUUUUUUAUGUUGUCACAAGGUGGAAUGCCACCUAUGAAAUGCUUAAUAGUGCUUUCAAGUUUAAAGAAGUGUUCUCUAAGAUGGCCUUUGAGUGUGACUCUUUUAUUGCUUACUUUAAAGAUGAGGUCUCGAAAGAGGUUGAUGGGGUGACAAUAAAUGCCAAGAGGGUGGGUCCUCCGGAGGUGGAUGAUUGGGAGAGGUUGGUGAGUUUUGCUCACUUUCUCAAAAACUUUUAUGAUGCCACCUUGACAUUGAGUGCAACUCUUACUCCAACGUCAUACUUAAAACUUAGCACGGUGAUUGCUUUGCAAUUGGAGAUAGAAGAACAAAUUUUAAACACCUCUAAUGCCACUUUGCAAAGUGUGGCUACCUCAAUGAAGCUCAAGUUUGACAAAUAUUGGGGUGACAUUGAAAAGGUGAACUCUAUUCUCUUUGUAGCCCAAGCACUCGGCCCGAGGUAGAAAUUUGAAAUGUUGGAGACAAAUCUAGAAGAGCUCAGCUAUGGAUGGGACAAAAUAAGGGAGGAGAAAGCAAGGGUUAAAAGCCAUGUAACCGACUUGUAUAAUGCAUAUAAGGAGGGAGUGGUCCUUAGUAGUUGUGGUACUAGUAGUAGUGCUACUUCAAAUGUGGAGCAAAGAUAUGAUGGGGGGGGUGUGGUAGAUAUUGAUGUUGCUAAAAGGAUGACAAAGAAGAUCCAACAAAAGAGGGAGCGGCACAACAAAAUGAGAUAGCCAAUGAAGUGGAUAUAUACUUCAAUGAUCCACAUCAAAGCCUUAACAUAUGAAAGUUUCAAUCUUUUGGAUUGGUGGAAAGGAAAUAGUGGUACAUAUCCAACUCUUAGUAAAGUUACUAAUGAUGUAUUUGUUCUUCCUAGUAGCACCGUUGCUAGUGAGAAUGCCUUUAGUCUUGGUGGGAGAGUUGCUGAUCCUUUUAGAGCUUUCUUAACACCUAAAACGGUUGAGGUUUUAGUGUGUGCUAGUGAUUGGCUUAGAGGAUGAAUUUUAUUUCUACAAGGAACCUAGACCCGACGAAUUCAAUUUCUACAAGGAACUUGAACGCUUAGAAAAAAGUAAGUAAAUAAUUUAAUUUCCUCUUUUAUUUUCUUAGUAUUUGUUAUCUAUUUCUAUAAUUCAAUCUAAAUGAUAUACGGUUUAUUGUUUUAGGCACGGCUAAUUUGGGAGGUGAGGAGAAUACAACACAAGGAAAUGAAAUGCCACCUCCACCUCCUCAACCACCUCAAGUUGAAGUUCAACAACGUCAAAAUCAAUCACUACCUCCACGAGCACCCAUUUUAAGGGGAAGGGCUCAACGAUCAACAUCAAGGGGAAGAGUACCAACAAGAAGGGGAAAGGGUCAACAAUCAACAACAAUAAGCAUGGCAAGGGAGCAACCACAACCAUCAACAAGAUCAAGGAGCCGAAGAGGCCAACAAUCUUCAUAAACUUUAAGCUUUUCUUUUCGUUUUUGGUUUGUAACUUAAUUUAUUUUGAAACUUUGGCUUGUAACUAAUUUUUUUUUUUGCUUUUGAGUUUGUUACUUAAUUUAUUUUUGUUGCAUGCAUGUGUAGUAGAAUACAUUUGAAGAACAAUUCAUAAUUUCAUAUUUCAAUUAGGCUAUAAAUCUAUGAUUGCACAUAUUGGUAUGUAUGAAGUAAAAGGCACAAAAUAGAUUGUUUGGCGGCUCAAAAUAGAUUGCACAAACUGACAUAUGACAUAUUUGUAUGUAUGACAUUGAAAUUGUCACAAUUUCAAUAUAAAAGGCUAAAUUUUAGUCCAAAAGUCCAAUAUGUCCAGUUUCAGCCUAAUAGCCCAAAAGCCCAAAAUCAAAAUUUAAUCCCGAUUUAUCCUGAAAUCCUGAAAAUUUGGUUUGAGAUUGGUCUUGAAAUUGCCUUCCCGAAAAAUUUCGGUUUAGAAUUUGGGAUAGUACUUUCGGUACCGAACCAGUCCUACUUUAAAUUAAAAUCCCAUUUGCGCUCACUCGUUCGUGAAAACCCAUCCCUAUCGAUGAAAACGCAUCCCUUCUUAUCUUUGCUCAAAGUGUGUCGGCUGAACAUUGCAGCAAGCAUGGAGUCGGGUUGACGCUGAGUUAGAGUACCGACGGUGGUGCAAAACUUCUUUCCUCCCACAUUGAGGUGAACCAAGGAUGAAGAAUCGUAGACCUCUGGCAUUGCUU
rnacentral:lncRNA from 1 species